GGAAAGAAUUUGAAAACUUAGGUGAUUGGGUGUCCAAAAACCAUUGAUGGUGACUUGAAAUGCAAAGAAUUCCCAACAUGUUUUGGGUUUGAUACUGCUUGCAAGAUAUAUGCAUAAAGGAUUGGAAAUGUCAUGAUAGAUGCCAGAUCAACUGGAAAAUAUUAUCACUUUGUGCAACUUAUGGGGCGUGCAGCUUCGCACAUAACACUUGAAUGUGUAUUGCUCUUAUGUCUUUAUUUUCACAAUCAAUGUUUAUCAUUAUAUGUGUGUCUGUUUUUUCAAAGAAUGCUAAGGAUUAAGACUGUUCCAUACUUGAGAUUUUUUUUUUUAAAAAAAAAAAUAUCUAGUGUUGGAAGAUUUUCCAUUGAUAUUAGAUCAGCCAUGUACAUUCAUAUCAGCCACAACUAUGAUAUCCUUGUUUCUGUUUUAGU